rnacentral:rRNA from 1 species
CGGGCGUUAAGUUGCAGGGUAUAGACCCGAAACCCGGUGAUCUAGCCAUGGGCAGGUUGAAGGUUGGGUAACACUAACUGGAGGACCGAACCGACUAAUGUUGAAAAAUUAGCGGAUGACCUGUGGCUGGGGGUGAAAGGCCAAUCAAACCGGGAGAUAGCUGGUUCUCCCCGAAAGCUAUUUAGGUAGCGCCUCGUGAAUUCAUCUCCGGGGGUAGAGCACUGUUUCGGCUAGGGGGCCAUCCCGGCUUACCAACCCGAUGCAAACUGCGAAUACCGGAGAAUGUUAUCACGGGAGACACACGGCGGGUGCUAACGUCCGUCGUGAAGAGGGAAACAACCCAGACCGCCAGCUAAGGUCCCAAAGUCAUGGUUAAGUGGGAAACGAUGUGGGAAGGCCCAGACAGCCAGGAUGUUGGCUUAGAAGCAGCCAUCAUUUAAAGAAAGCGUAAUAGCUCACUGGUCGAGUCGGCCUGCGCGGAAGAUGUAACGGGGCUAAACCAUGCACCGAAGCUGCGGCAGCGACACUGUGUGUUGUUGGGUAGGGGAGCGUUCUGUAAGCCUGUGAAGGUGUGUCGUGAGGCAUGCUGGAGGUAU